rnacentral:rRNA from 1 species
GAUGAACGCUGGCGGCGUGCCUAAUACAUGCAAGUCGAGCGAACAGACGAGGAGCUUGCUCCUCUGACGUUAGCGGCGGACGGGUGAGUAACACGUGGAUAACCUACCUAUAAGACUGGGAUAACUUCGGGAAACCGGAGCUAAUACCGGAUAAUAUAUUGAACCGCAUGGUUCAAUAGUGAAAGACGGUUUUGCUGUCACUUAUAGAUGGCUCCGCGCCGCAUUAGCUAGUUGGUAAGGUAACGGCUUACCAAGGCAACGAUGCGUAGCCGACCUGAGAGGGUGAUCGGCCACCCUGGAACUGAGACACGGUCCAGACUCCUACGGGAGGCCGCAGUAGGGAAUCUUCCGCAAUGGGCGAAAGCCUGACGGAGCAACGCCGCGUGAGUGAUGAAGGUCUUCGGAUCGUAAAACUCUGUUAUUAGGGAAGAACAAAUGUGUAAGUAACUAUGAACGUCUUGACGGUACCUAAUCAGAAAGCCACGGCUAACUACGUG